rnacentral:rRNA from 1 species
CCUACGGGAGGCAGCAGUGGGGAAUAUUGGACAAUGGGGGGAACCCUGAUCCAGCCAUGCCGCGUGUGUGAAGAAGGCCCUCGGGUUGUAAAGCACUUUCAGUGAGGAAGAACGCCUGGUGGUUAAUACCCAUCAGGAAAGACAUCACUCACAGAAGAAGCACCGGCUAACUCCGUGCCAGCAGCCGCGGUAAUACGGAGGGUGCGAGCGGUAAUCGGAAUUACUGGGCGUAAAGCGCGCGUAGGUGGCUUGAUAAGCCGGUUGUGAAAGCCCCGGGCUCAACCUGGGAACGGCAUCCGGAACUGUCAAGCUAGAGUGCAGGAGAGGAAGGUAGAAUUCCCGGUGUAGCGGUGAAAUGCGUAGAGAUCGGGAGGAAUACCAGUGGCGAAGGCGGCCUUCUGGACUGACACUGACACUGAGGUGCGAAAGCGUGGGUAGCAAACAGGAUUAGAUACCCUGGUAGUC